AUAAUGUUGGCUGUCCAGAUGCCUAAAAAGCAUCUGUUAGCAAGGGCCGGGCAAGACCGGUGCCAGCCGCCGCGGUAACACCGGCGGCCCGAGUGGUAACCGCUAUUAUUGGGUCUAAAGGGUCUGUAGCCGGCCAGGUAAGUCCCUUGGGAAAUCUGGCAGCUCAACUGUCAGGCUGCUAGGGGAUACUGUUUGGCUUGGGACCGGGAGAGGUGAGAGGUACCUUGGGGGUAGGGGUGAAAUCUUGUGAUCCUCGGGGGACCACCAGUGGCGAAGGCGUCUCACCAGAACGGGUCCGACGGUAAGGGACGAAAGCUAGGGGCACGAACCGGAUUAGAUACCCGGGUAGUCCUAGCCGUAAACGAUGCUCGCUAGGUGUCAGUCACGGUGCGACCGUGAUUGGUGCCGUAGGGAAGCCGUGAAGCGAGCCACCUGGGAAGUAUGGCCGCAAGGCUGAAACUUAAAGGAAUUGGCGGGGGAGCACUACAACGGGUGGAGCCUGCGGUUUAAUUGGAUUCAACGCCGGAAAUCUCACCGGGGGCGACAGCGAUAUGAAGGUCAGGCUGAAGACCUUACCCGAUUAGCUGAGAGGUGGUGCAUGGCCGUCGUCAGUUCGUACUGUGAAGCAUAAUCA
rnacentral:rRNA from 1 species